UACGGAGGGGGCUAGCGUUGUUCGGAAUUACUGGGCGUAAAGCGCGCGUAGGCGGAUCUGCAAGUCGGGGGUGAAAUCCCGAGGCUCAACCUCGGAACUGCCUUCGAUACUGCGGGUCUCGAGUCCGGGAGAAGUGAGUGGAAUUCCUAGUGUAGAGGUGAAAUGCGCAGAUAUCGGGAAGAACACCCGUGGCUAAGGCGGCUCUCUAGUACGGUACUGACGCUGAGACGCGAAAGCGUGGGGAGCGAACAGG
rnacentral:rRNA from 1 species